rnacentral:ribozyme from 1 species
AAAUGGUUUAGCCAUCUCCAACCAAAGAAAUGCAAUCUUCCCUCGGUAGAUAUGGUUCACCGAUUUAGCUCUUUCAUUGUGCGCAGCACGC